ACAAAAAAAGGAGAUGAAAGUUAUAUUAGUAUCACUCUUCACAUAUAUAAAGUUGGCCCAGAAUUUUAUAACAUUCCUAUCACAUGUAUGGCAGUGGGCACAAGUGGACAAGACCAUUCAACUCUAUAUCUGAGGAAAAGUAACACAGGCCAACCCCUUUGGGCGUUCAUCAUUCCUGUGUGCAUUGUUGUUCUGUGUUUAAUGGUGGUCUCUGCAUACAGACACUUUAGAGUUGGUGUUACUCAUGAAUGUAAUACAAGUGGCUUGAAGCUUCUGAUGGUGUGGUAUGGCUGCAAUGAGGAGAGACAGGUGGACACACAUUUACUGCUGCAUCCGCCUAGAUCACCAAUGAGGAGCAGAGAUGGAAACAUCAACGACAGUUGUACUAUCUGAUUUCAGCAUCUGAACAGAGAUGGUAUUCCAGUAGAUCUUUGACAGAACCCUGUCCAUGGACUGAAGACAUUGUGUUGCUCACUGCCUUCACACAUUUCUGUUUAUAUUAAAUUGUUAUUAAAAAAUAAUAAAUGCCCGGGCUAAUGUAGCAUCCAGCUCUAUCUGUGUUUGCAUUAAGGAGAACACCUAUAAGCUUUUCUAUAGAUGCUAUUACGUUCCGUCUUGGCUAAACUAAAUGAACACUGAGAUCUCUGACCUCUGUUGGAGAUGUGGUUCCGGCACUACAUCAUUUCUGCAUAUAUGGUGUAGUAGCUGCCCACGACUGAUCCGCUUCUGGACUGACAUUAACACCCUUUGUCACUUCCAUAACCGGUUUGACUGUAGCUCUCAAUCCCAAAUACUUCCUGUUACCUCUUAGUUUCCCGGGCUCCACAUAUCCAAAACAUGAGCUGUUCAGACACAUAUUAUCAGCGGUGACCUGUCAGCAGCAUACUGAAAGUGUGAGUAAUUUCCUACUACUUAACUGAUUAUAUUGUAGCUAAGAUUUGGCACUCUUAUAUACUGGAACAUAACUAGCAUUCUGGGGCAUAUUCAGUAUGAAUCGCAAGUAGCGAUUCAUAUGGAAUUUUUGCUGAGGGGCCGCGGGCGCAUGCGCAGCAGGCCCCACUGCACAUGCGCCCGCAAUUUCUGCGGGGGGCCGCAGAAAUUAUGAUUGCCUCUGCCUGUCAAUCAGGCAGAGGCGGUUGCGGGGCGAGAAGGGGAUGGCAAUGCUCCAUUUUCUGGGCGGAAAUGGAACGUUGCGGGGGCGUGCCAGCCUAACCGGUGGGCUGGUAUGCACGAACAGGGGUGUGUCGGGGGUGCGGCUGCGUGACAUCACACACAGCCACUGUGACAACAAAAAUGGCACUGGGACUCCUGCGACCGCAGCUAAGCUGCGCCGGCAGGAGUCAUCCUUAAUUUCUGCUAACAAGCAGAAAUUGCAUGCUGUUCGCAAUUUCUGCUUGAAGCAAGGGGGGAGGUACCGGUCAGCAUGCUGGGCAGCCUUGCCCAGUACUGGGUGGCCCCAGCAUGCGUGCUAAUGGUUAGCAAAUUUUGCUGAUUAGCAGAAUUUGCUAACCUCACUGGAUUGGCCCCUCUAUAUGGAUCCUCCAAAAACAUUUUUCAAACUUCGCAGUCGUGGACUUCAUUUCAAUAUUCAUCCAGAGCCCUUCUGACAUUCUUGGUUCCCUUUCUUAUAUUUUGACUCCUCCCAUCACACACGUAUUUGCUUUUGAACUAACACUGAACCCCGUUGAGUAACCUUCUUCCCAAAACUGUCCUCCCCUCUUCCCUCUCUUUGCAAGUGGCCAGCCUGCUCCUCAUUUCUUUAUCUCUUUCUUACUAGGUCUGUCCUUUUAUCUCAUUCUCAUACACUAUUGUUAAAAGUGGGUUGAGCAAAUAUUUUUUGCAGCUAGUCCAUGGAUAGUCAUAACAUUGUUUUCCAGUUUGAUCUGCUGUUACACUGGUACUCUAAGGCUCAUACAAUUAAAUGUUAUGUACAUAUACUGUGAUUUUAUCUACUGUUUUUCUCUUU